UCUGAAACAAAAAAAAACAUCUGAGUUCCUCAACAGAGUUCACAUACAGAAAAAAUUACUAUGGGUAGUACUAAAACUUUGGUGACUUGUUUCCUUGCAAUAACACUUGCAGUUUCAUUGUUUAACCAAAAUGUUUUGGCUUCAGGAAAGGAAAAUUUCUCAUUUGACAACUGCAGUACUCAUUGUUCAGAAUUCUACGGACGUGAUGAAUGUAUGAGAGAUUGUAUCAAAGCUGGAUUUAAGAAAGGUGGAGACUGCGGUUCUCCUUGUAUUCCAUGUCCCGUGUCUUGUUGUUGCCAAAUGUAGUUCAAACUUAUCUCUCAAAAUUGAUGAUUCUACCGUUGCAUUUGUUUUCUCUAAGUUAUUGUGCUUAAUUUGAAUCUUAUUUUCACAAAUAAAUGCAAUAAAAAAAAAAAAAUAAUUAAUAAUUAGUAACUUUCUCUUGAAA